GGCCUAACACAUGCAAGUCGAACGGUAACAGGAAGCAGCUUGCUGCUUUGCUGACGAGUGGCGGACGGGUGAGUAAUGUCUGGGAAACUGCCUGAUGGAGGGGGGAUAACUACUGGAAACGGUAGCUAAUACCGCAUAACGUCGCAAGACCAAAGAGGGGGACCUUCGGGCCUCUUGCCAUCGGAUGUGCCCAGAUGGGAUUAGCUAGUAGGUGGGGUAACGGCUCACCUAGGCGACGAUCCCUAGCUGGUCUGAGAGGAUGACCAGCCACACUGGAACUGAGACACGGUCCAGACUCCUACGGGAGGCAGCAGUGGGGAAUAUUGCACAAUGGGCGCAAGCCUGAUGCAGCCAUGCCGCGUGUAUGAAGAAGGCCUUCGGGUUGUAAAGUACUUUCAGCGGGGAGGAAGGCGAUAAGGUUAAUAACCUUGUCGAUUGACGUUACCCGCAGAAGAAGCACCGGCUAACUCCGUGCCAGCAGCCGCGGUAAUACGGAGGGUGCAAGCGUUAAUCGGAAUUACUGGGCGUAAAGCGCACGCAGGCGGUCUGUCAAGUCGGAUGUGAAAUCCCCGGGCUCAACCUGGGAACUGCAUUCGAAACUGGCAGGCUAGAGUCUUGUAGAGGGGGGUAGAAUUCCAGGUGUAGCGGUGAAAUGCGUAGAGAUCUGGAGGAAUACCGGUGGCGAAGGCGGCCCCCUGGACAAAGACUGACGCUCAGGUGCGAAAGCGUGGGGA
rnacentral:rRNA from 1 species